rnacentral:rRNA from 2 species
UACAGAGGGGGCAAGCGUUGUUCGGAAUUACUGGGCGUAAAGGGCGCGUAGGCGGCCUACUAAGUCAUACGUGAAAUCCCACGGCUCAACCGUGGAACUGCGUCUGAGACUGGAAGGCUUGAAUUCGGGAGAGGGAUGCGGAAUUCCAGGUGUAGCGGUGAAAUGCGUAGAUAUCUGGAGGAACACCGGUGGCGAAGGCGGCAUCCUGGACCGACAUUGACGCUGAGGCGCGAAAGCCAGGGGAGCAAACGGG